GACGAACGCUGGCGGCGUGCUUAACACAUGCAAGUCGAACGGAAAGGCCCCUCUGGUGUUACUUGAGCGGCGAACGGGCGAGUAACACGCGAGUAACUAGCCCUUGACUUCGUGUGAACUUCAGGAAACUGGGGCUAAUACCUGCCAGGAAGCAUUGCCGCAUGGAGGGGGGGGGAAAGCUUGGGCCGUCUGGGGGGGACGCGCGGCUUAUCCGCUUGUUGGUGGGGUAGUGGGUUACCAACGCCUUGACUGGUAGCCGGCCUGAGGGGGCGACCGGCCACCUUGGGACUGAGGUACGGCCCCGACUCCUACGGGGGGGAACAGUGGGGAAUAUUGGACCAUGGGCGGGAGCCUGAUGCAACAACGCCGCGGGCGGGAUUGCGGGCUUCGGGUUGGAAACCGCUUUCAGCAGGGGCGAAGCUUGUGGUGACGGUACCUGCAGAAGAAGCACCGGCUAACUACGUG
rnacentral:rRNA from 1 species